GACGAACGCUGGCGGCGUGCUUAACACAUGCAAGUCGAACGGAAAGGCCCGCUUGCGGGUACUCGAGUGGCGAACGGGUGAGUAACACGUGGGCAACCUGCCCUCAGCUCUGGGAUAACUCCGGGAAACCGGUGCUAAUACUGGAUAUCGACUUCUGCUCGCAUGGGUGGUUGUUGAAAGUUUUUCGGCUGGGGAUGGGCCCGCGGCCUAUCAGCUUGUUGGUGGGGUGAUGGCCUACCAAGGCGACGACGGGUAGCCGGCCUGAGAGGGCGACCGGCCACACUGGGACUGAGACACGGCCCAGACUCCUACGGGAGGCAGCAGUGGGGAAUAUUGCGCAAUGGGCGGAAGCCUGACGCAGCGACGCCGCGUGAGGGAUGACGGCCUUCGGGUUGUAAACCUCUUUCAGCAGGGACGAAGCGAGAGUGACGGUACCUGCAGAAGAAGGACCGGCCAACUACGUGCCAGCCGCCGCAGUAAAAC
rnacentral:rRNA from 1 species